UCAGAACGAACGCUGGCGGCAUGCCUAACACAUGCAAGUCGAACGAGACCUUCGGGUCUAGUGGCGCACGGGUGCGUAACGCGUGGGAAUCUGCCCUUGGGUUCGGAAUAACAGUGAGAAAUUACUGCUAAUACCGGAUGAUGUCUUCGGACCAAAGAUUUAUCGCCCAAGGAUGAGCCCGCGUAGGAUUAGCUAGUUGGUGGGGUAAUGGCCUACCAAGGCGACGAUCCUUAGCUGGUCUGAGAGGAUGAUCAGCCACACUGGGACUGAGACACGGCCCAGACUCCUACGGGAGGCAGCAGUGGGGAAUAUUGGACAAUGGGCGAAAGCCUGAUCCAGCAAUGCCGCGUGAGUGAUGAAGGCCUUAGGGUUGUAAAGCUCUUUUACCCGGGAUGAUAAUGACAGUACCGGGAGAAUAAGCUCCGGCUAACUCCGUGCCAGCAGCCGCGGUAAUACGGAGGGAGCUAGCGUUGUUCGGAAUUACUGGGCGUAAAGCGCGCGUAGGCGGUUACUCAAGUCAGAGGUGAAAGCCCGGGGCUCAACCCCGGAACUGCCUUUGAAACUAGGUGACUAGAAUCUUGGAGAGGUCAGUGGAAUUCCGAGUGUAGAGGUGAAAUUCGUAGAUAUUCGGAAGAACACCAGUGGCGAAGGCGACUGACUGGA
rnacentral:rRNA from 1 species